rnacentral:rRNA from 1 species
CCCUUAGAUGUCCGGGGCCGCACGUGCGCUACAAUGGAUGAAUCAACGCGUCAUCCUGGCCCGAAAGGGUUGGGGAACCGCUGAACCUCAUCCGUGGUUGGGAUUGGGGUUUGUAAUUAUUCCCCAUGAACUAGGAAUUCCCAGUAAGCGCGAGUCAUAAGCUCGCGUUGAUUACGUCCCUGCCCUUUGUACACACCGCCCGUCGCUACUACCGAUUGGAUGGUUUAGUGAGAUCCUCGGAUUGGUCACGGCACGGUGGCAACACUGCGUCGGUGUGCCGAGAAGACGAUCAAACUUGAUCAUCUAGAGGAAGUAAAAGUCGUAACA